UACAGGGGGUGCAAACGUUGCUCGGAAUCAUUGGGCGUAAAGCGCACGUAGGCGGUUCGUUAUGUCGGAUGUGAAAGCCCUUGGCUUAACCGAGGAAGUGCAUCCGAAACUGGCGAGCUAGAGUACGAAAGAGGAUCGCGGAAUUCCCGGUGUAGAGGUGAAAUUCGUAGAUAUAUGGAAGAACAUCAAUAACGGCGAAGGCAGUUAACUAUUCUGUUACUGACGUUGAGGCACGAAAGCGUGGGGAGCAAAACGG
rnacentral:rRNA from 1 species